AUGCUCGUCCUUCCUAAGGGAACGACAAAAGCCAUCAUCAAUCUUCUAAGAUCUUUUCUACAGCUGGUUCACGCAAGGAUUCAAAAGGGCAAUGCAAAGUCAAAUGAGAUCUUGUUUGCCACCCAACAAACUUUGGGGAGUUGGGGAUCCUCAACAUUAAUAAAAAUUGUGAGCGUCCUCCAUCUUAGCUGGUCGUGGCUUGAGCAGACAAAACCGAGCAAGGUGUGGGUUGGCAUGGGAACCCUGUGUGAUGUGGUCGACAUGGAUCAUUUUUACAAGUGGACUACCAUCACAAUCAGAGACGGGAAGUUGGCAAAUUUUGGCAUGCGCCAUGACUUAAUGGGUGAAACCUAA
rnacentral:rRNA from 1 species